AAAGACCAUUGAGUUAGUAAACCAGCUGAAAAGUUUUGCGCAAAAGACACACCUGUCCCUAACUACUAUCUAGCGAAACCACAGCCAAGGGAACGGGCUUGGCAAAAUCAGCGGGGAAAGAAGACCCUGUUGAGCUUGACUCUAGUCUGACUUUGUGAAGAGACAUGAGAGGUGUAGCAUAAGUGGGAGCCAAGGGAUCAAUCUUGGCUGUUACUUCGGUGGCAGUUAAGACCCCUUGGCUACAGUGAAAUACCACUACUCUCAUAGUUUCUUUACUUACACGGUUAAAGGGAAGUUGGGAUAGUGUCUCUCUCACUUGGGUUUACCUCAGGGUUCGGGAAGGCCUCCUAUCCUUAAAUUU
rnacentral:ncRNA from 1 species